rnacentral:rRNA from 1 species
AAGCAUUUAUUAGAUAAAAAGCCAAUGCAUGCUUUUACAGUAUGAAAAUUGGUGAUUUAUAAUAACUUAGCAAAUCGUAAAGUGAAAACAGACGAUAAAUCAUUCAAGUUUCUGACCUAUCAGCUUUCGACGGUAUGGUAUUGGCUUACCGUGGCAGUGACGGUUAACGGGGGAUUAGGGUUCGAUUCCGGAGAGGGAGCCUGAGAAACGGCUACCACAUCUAAGGAAGGCAGCAGGCGCGCAAAUUACCCAAUUCUAACAGUUUGAGAGAGGUAGUAACAAGAAAUAACAAUACAAGGCAGUUAAAAUGCUUUGUAAUUGGAAUGAUAGAAAUUUAAACCCUUUUUAAAGUAUCAAUUGGAGGGCAAGUCUGGUGCCAGCAGCCGCGGUAAUUCCAGCUCCAAUAGCGUAUAUUAAAAUUGUUGCAGUUAAAAAGCUCGUAGUUGAAGUUCUGCUAAAAGUAACCGGUCUGCUUUUAAUAAAAGUGGUAUCUUGGUAUGUAUUUAGCAAUGAUGUCCUUUGAAGUGUUUUUUACUUUAUUGUAAUAAAGCAUAUUCAGGACUUUUACUUUGAGAAAAUUAGAGUGUUUCUAGCAGGCCGACGCUUUGAAUACUGCAGCAUGGAAUAAUAAGA